UCUUCUCGGUAUAGCUCUAUUUUCUCUUUUCGUUCAAUCCUAAUCUUAGUUUUGCUCUCCUUCCUUUGCUUCUACAUUUCACUUCAGCUUCUAAUCUUCAUUCAUUUUUUGAUGAGUUUAAUAUGUUUUCUUUCUGAGUUCUUUGUUUUUGUCACAGAAGAAGGAUUGUAUUUUUUGUAGUCUGGUAAUUUUGACUUAGGAUCUAAAUUCCAUAGAUGCAAAUUUGUGAGAUGUUCUAAUUUUUGUCACUAUUUCCCUCCUUUAAAUUCUGAAAGAACUAAUAUGAAUAUUUCUUAUUCAGGAUUUUAGAAAUAACAUGACAAAUAAGCGGUGAAAGAAUUUGAGUGUUAUAUUAUGAUGUUUGUGGUGUUAGUUCUUCAGCAUCUGCACAGGAAGAGAUACAAAGGGCCCAUUGCUUCAAGGUACAUCAUGAUUGACCGGUGUUGGAGCUGGGGCAAUUGCUAAAUUCGAAGCAGGCGCCAUUGCAGAUAUUCAAUUUGACAUUGUUGAAUUUUCAGCAAGAAUAUAACGUUUGCAAACGACAUUGUUUCAAUUCAAAUAUGCUGAUAAAUACUCAAUUUGACUCAUGACAGGUACUAGACCUUCAAGGUUACUGUUCCCUGAAAUGUUGAGGAAACGGAGAGUUCCUGGCUAGAACUUUCGUAGGGGGUAUAUCUGUUGUGCUUUUUUCGUUGCUUGUAAUAUUUUUCAUAAGAAGGGAAAAGAAUGAUUUAAGUUUAACAAUAUAUAUAGUCCGUUGAUCAAGAAAGCUGAGGACUUGGCUUUCUUAGAGAAUGAAGAUGGAGUGGCAUCACUUGAAAUGAUUGGAAAAGAUAGUUGUGGAGAAGUUUAUAGAGCUGAGUUACUGGAAAGUAAUAGAAAGAUUAUACAAUCCCCAGUUGAUGCUGCAGAGAUCACUGAGGAAGACAUCAAGGAUUUGAACAAGAAAAUGUGCCAAGUUAAAUUAGAAAUUCAAAUUAUAGGUCAAAUCAGACACCGAAAUUUGCUUCUAUUACUAGCACAUAUGCCAAGGUCAGAUUGCCAUUAAUUGGUCUAUGAAUAUAAAAAUGAAAGUUCACAUGACAACCUCCGACAAGUCAAAGAAGGGACAAGGGAAUUAGAUUGGUUGGGCGACAUCGAAUUGCAGCAGGAAUAACUGCUAGUCCUUAAUUUUUUCAUAUAAACCAUACUCAACGCAUAAUUCACAGAGAUUUAAAGCCAACAAAUAUUCUUCUUGAUAAUGAUAUGUGUUGAAAUGAUCAUAGAGGAAGGUUAAUUCUC